AACUAAAAUAGUAGAGCAUUCUAUUUCCCAAUAAUAAUUAAACAUAAUCGGUUUAAUAAUGAAUACCGAUUGUAUAAUAAAAUCAAAUUUAAAAGAAAAUUAACAAAUUUCUUCUUUUUUUUUUUUUUUUUUUUUUUUUUUUUGGGUUCUCUUUCUUAAAUUCUUUCAUAUUAAUAAACAAACGGGUAACGACGGUUUAAAUUUCGAGUUCAAAGUUUACAGAAGAGCUUAUUUGUAGAUAUUCGUGUAUGCGUGUAAACUCAAAAUAGACUUCAAAAGGACUUCGAAUGUCUUUGGAAAGCAUGUAAAACAAAAGACUUUCAACUAAACGUUUAAAUUACGGAGCCUCAGUCAUCUCGUGCUCAAUUAUGUGUGACUUUUGCAAGGAUAUCAUAUAAUAUUUCGGUCGGUCGAAGAUGAAAAAGUGGCCGAUUGUAAGCGAUUGUAAAUUUUACCGCAUUUGUUACUGCAUAACAGACGGCGACGUAUAUUUCUACGAAAGUAAAACGUAAUGGAUAGACAAUAAACAAGAAAGCUAAAAUAAAACCAUCUCAGCUGUUUAAUACACUUUGCAAUUUAUUGGAUCUUAAGUAACCAUUAUUUGUCUUCGUGUGCGGCAGGAUGUUUGCCAGUGAAUGCCAACACAUGCUAUCGAUAUAAUUUAUGGCAAUUAUUCAAAUUAUCAAUAGACAGUUUAAAAAGAAAAAAAA